rnacentral:lncRNA from 1 species
GGAGGAGUCUUUUGGCUAGUUUUGAGUGAAAUCCAAUCGCUAAAACCACCAACACUCCAUUUUAUGAACGAACUUCGUACGAACUUGAAUUGUCCGAUUUCUUGGUUCAAUCGAUAUCGGAUAGAGCCCAACACGUGGCAGCAUCAUAAUAUGGUGGGAGGAGUCAUUUGGUGAGUUUUGAGUGAAAUCAAAUGGCUAAACCUAUGCAAUACACCAAUCACUCCAUUUCAUAACGAACUU